GUGCAUAACUCUCCAACUUGCUACAUGGGUCACCAAAGUACAGAUUUCAUGUAAAAUUGUGCUUACUCUCACGGAGAUACUCUAGCAAGUAGCAACACAUACAAAAUAUUCAAACACAUACUCAUAUGAGUUUAAACCCCACACACUGCAGACUAGCACGAUUGUUCAUAGAAAUGUAUAAGUAUUCAAACACAUACUCAUAUGGGUGUAAACCAUGAUUGUUCAUGAGAAUGUACAAGUAAUACAACUAUAUAUGAAACCUGAGGAAAGUUUGACCGACUAUACAUGAAGACUGUAACUCGUGGCCAUUUCUUUCUCAGACGUUUAUCGCGAUUUAAUUUGCCACUAAGCUAAUGGCCCAUAGAGGUUAAUCCCGUUCAGCAUUGCCUGAUGAUUCUAGUAUGAUCCAAGGAGAGAUGAUCACCUGCAAUACUCUCCAAACUGGGGAAUUCCAGAUGUGAACCCUCAGAUGCAAAUCUAACGUGCUUAUCGCUGAACAGCAAUACCAAAUAUACAAGAUUCUUGUAACUUGAUAUUCCAAGGUAAAUAAGUACAAGAGGAAAGAUGUAGGAGAAAGUUUUUCAUUUUGUUCACACAUCAAACAGAUCUAUAAUGUAAGAGAAUGAACACACACAAAAAAAUAAAUAAA